UACAGAGGUGCCGAGCGUUAGGCGGAAUCACUGGGCUUAAAGCGUGUGUAGGCGGAUGCCUAAGUACCUUGUGAAAUCCCACGGCUUAACCGUGGAACUGCUCGGUAUACUGGGUGUCUUGAGCCACUUAGGGGCUACCGGAACAAAUGGUGGAGCGGUGAAAUGCGUAGAUAUCAGGAAGAACACCAAUGGCGAAAGCAGGUCUCUGGGCCACUACUGACGCUGAGAAGCGAAAGCAUGGGGGAGCGAACAGG
rnacentral:rRNA from 1 species